CCCACCAAUCAGCCAUCUGUGGUUUGAGACUCACAAGCUUAGGAGAGACUCGGGAGGCAUCAGUUCCGCAUCCCGCACUCCCACGUGAAUUUGCCCCCGCCCUGAGUCAGAACCCUAGAGGGGUGAAAUCCCUGAAUUCUGCAGAGGAAACCCAUACUUCUUUGCUUUUUCAGCAAUUCCAGGAGAUGUCGUUUUUCAAGUGGCAAAUGUGUGGCUCUAGAGGACAGAGUAACCACCUUGCAGCCAAGAAGCCCUGAUGUCAACUCCCAGCUCUGCUGCAGCACCCAGAAAUCACCGGACCUUUCUGCAUCUUUCUGGGUGACUCUGUCAUGAGGAUUUCAUAAUGUAAUUCCCUAGCACAUAAGAAUUUCUCAACCAAUAUGGCUUUCUUUUUUCCUUCUCACUAGUCUUUGAGCUUCUUAAAGGGAAGACAUGUCCUAUUCAUCUCUACACCCCCCACACCAGUCUGCAUUCAGUAAGUGCUCAAUCAAUGUCUGCUGAAUCACAUCUUCCCACUCAACUGCAUGGCCUCGGAUGAUCCAAUUCUGUGGGACUCAGGGUCUCCCUGAUUCUGAAGAUCUCCAUUUCAGCCACCCCAUCCUGGUGCUUUUUCUGGAGAGACUGGGAAAAAGGUCUUAUUGGCUGUGCAAACUUGAGGGAGUUGCCUAACCACUCUGGGCCCUGUUUUCCUGGCUUUGCCACUCUUCAGCUGUGUGACCCGGGGAAGCUCUCAACCUCUUUGUGCCUCCAUUUCCACAUCUGUAAAAUGGGGAUAUGAAAGUGGCUGCUUUGUGAAGAGUCCUGAGAAUAAAUGAGUUAAGUUUCCAUGAAUCAGGAAUCCAGGAGUGGUGUAAGUUUCUCAGGAAGUUGCAGUCAAGACAUUGGCCAGGUCUGUGAUCAUCUGAAGGCUUGACUGGGGCUGACAGAUCCACCUCCAAGUUGGUUCACUCCCAUGGUGCAGACUGCUGGCAGAAGAACUCAAUGUCUCCCACAUGGGCCCCUCAACAGGCUGCUUGAGUAUGUUCAGAGCAUGGUGGCUGGCCUCCCUCCAAGUGAGCAGUCCAAGACCUAUUCUGGGACGUCAUACACCAACACUUUUGCCACAUUCUACUCCUUAGAAGCAAGUCCCUAAGCAAAGCUCAUACUCCACGGGAGGGAAACCAGGCUCCACCUCUUGAAGGGAGGGGCACCAAAUAAUUUGCAAGUAUAUUUCAAAACCACUGCAGGUCACAUGGUGCAGAAAGACAGAAGCAGAGCAGAAGAAUAUUAAAACCUAUUGAAUUUACAACAGCAAGAAUAAAAUACAUGAUUGUUGGAACAUUUAGAGCUCCUUUCUCUCUAUUGUCUGCCCAGGAAAACUGAUAUGGAUAAAUAUGGAAGAGAGCUGGCCAGUGGAUGAAAUGGUGAUGUAAAGGUGAGCUUUGCGGAAGAGUGGAGAAAAGAGAUUGGCACUGAAGUGGGCAGUGAAAGAGCAAGAGGCUUGUGGGAGACUUGAUUUCAGAGGCAGCGUUUGGAUGGUUAUGAACAGGCUUUCCUCUUCUUUCAGGGGUACCGUAAAGAUCAGAAUUAAUAGUAUGACUAUUUGGUUUGGAGGCUGUUUCAUUAAGUAUUACACUGUGGAGAGACUGGAUCACAUGGGUCAUAUUAUUUAUUCAGGUUACAUUCACACUCCCUGUGAAUUCCCACCCUAUGCAAACUGGCAAGAAAACGCUAUUUUAAAAGAUUCUUGAACGCUUUUGUAUCUUUCUUAAGACUUUUGUAUACAGCACUGUUCACAUAGUAGGUAGUCAAAAUUAGUGAGAAAGACUCAAGCAAAAAGUUUAUUUGGAUUUCCAUAUGAUUUAUAAGCCAAGACGCUAUAAUCCAAAGAGGCAGGAAAAUGAUGUAAACUAGAAAUAAAAAUAUUUGUAAGUGACAAUGUGUCCUGAAUUCU
rnacentral:lncRNA from 1 species